rfam:Ipomoea nil DNA, scaffold: scaffold0878, cultivar: Tokyo-kokei standard.
GAAUUUGUGGCCCAAUGGAUAAGGCGCUGGUCUAUGAAACCAGAGAUUUCGGGUUCGAUUUCCAGCGGAGUUG